GGCAUUAUAAUAAAACAUAAAUUAUGAGUAAAUAUAGUUGUAAUUUCAUUUACAUUAAAUAACAUUUUUAUCAUUAUACAUUAGAUUAAUAAUCGAAGAUAACGAAGGUAAUAACUCCAGUUAUCAUUAUAAUUGGUUUGUUAAUACUGUAUGUAUUAUAUAUAAUAUCUAUAAUUACGCAGUUAACGAUUUAUUCCCUUUGUUUUUCGAACCGUGGAUCAAAGAUAAAAUGGUCGGGAAACUUAACAGAAGUCAUUGUGUUACGUUUUGGUCUGAGUUUAUGUCAGUGGUUUAUGUUACUGCACGGUCACGGUGAUUGAGCUCGUUAAUUUUUGAAGUAAUCGCCCAAUAGGGGUAGCUGAUGAAAUCAGGGUUACCACAUUGUUGAAUAAAUAAGCCAAACAUUGUUAUAAACGGCCCGUGGAUGUCUUUGUUUAACAAAAGGUUAUGA